UGAACUCAGCCUUCGUUCUUAUCGAGCCGAUUAAAAAGCACGGACGACGGGAGAAGACGGAUUCUUGGAUCAUACCGGUUACAUCACCAGUUAUUGAAAUAUUCCAGGUCCCUCGCGUGGCAGAAUUUUCAAUCAAUUUUCCUUAAUUACAUUUAUUAGAGCUUUGGGUAACUAGGUAAACACUUUUAUAACAACCCUGGAUAAGGAUAUCCAUAGAAGAAUUUCAAUACAAUGGACGAAGACCAUUGAAAGAUUUUGGAUUGCUGUGCGGCGCUCUUAGAAUCACUGGUAAAACUGCGUUCUUCAAAGGCAAAUGCAGCGAACACAUACUGAAGAUCACGCUGCUUCGAAAACAUAUAGAU